rnacentral:rRNA from 1 species
GACGAACGCUGGCGGCGUGCUUAACACAUGCAAGUCGAACGAAGUGGCGAACGGGUGAGUAACGAGUAAUCAACCUGCCCUUCAGAGGGGGACAACAGUUGGAAACGACUGCUAAUACCGCAUACUGAAGGAGGGGAUUGCGUCUGAUUCGCUAGUUGGAGGGGUAACGGCCCACCAAGGCGAUGAUCAGUAGCCGGUCUGAGAGGAUGAACGGCAACAGUGGGACUUAGACACGGCCCAGACUCCUACGGUAGGCAGCAGUGGGGAGUCUGCCGCAAUGGACGAAAGUCUGACGGAGCACAGCCGCGUGAGUGAGGAUGGCCGUCGGGUUGUAAAGCUCUGUUAAUCGGGACGCGGUACCGGAAUAGAAAGCCACGGCUAACUACGGGCCAGCAGCCGCGGUAAUUC